rnacentral:rRNA from 1 species
GACGAACGCUGGCGGCGCGCUUAACACAUGCAAGUCGAGCGAGAACCAGGGCUUCGGCCCUGGGGAAAGCGGCGAACGGGUGAGUAACACGUGAGUAACCUGUCCUCGGCACCGGGAUAGCCCGGGGAAACCCGGAUUAAUACCGGAUGGCCUUUCGAGUCUUCGGGCUCGUCAGAAAAGGGAGCUUCGGCCUCCGGCCGAGGAGGGACUCGCGGCGGAUUAGCUUGUUGGUGGGGUAACGGCUCACCAAGGCGACGAUCCGUAGCUGGUCUGAGAGGACGAUCAGCCACACUGGGACUGAGACACGGCCCAGACUCCUACGGGAGGCAGCAGUGGGGAAUCUUGCGCAAUGGGCGAAAGCCUGACGCAGCGACGCCGCGUGCGGGAAGAAGGCC